AUUACAAUGUUCCACAUUUCCUUGCUUUUUAAGUCAUUUUUAGGCUUUUUAGAGUUGUUGUUUUUUGUUUUUUUAGCAGUAAUGUUUCUGCCUAUUUAUUUCAGCCCAUGAAAUCGAAUGCAGAUCUUCCUGAUGUGAGAUUUACAUAAAUAUGUCAAAGUCUCAACCUCAUGCUGCCCUCCCCCAUCCUCCUAAACCUGUGGAUACAAAUGCAGAUUUCCUUAAUGU